AUUGAACGCUGGCGGCAGGCCUAACACAUGCAAGUCGAACGAGUGGCGGACGGGUGAGUAAUGUCUGGGAAACUGCCUGAUGGAGGGGGAUAACUACUGGAAACGGUAGCUAAUACCGCAUACCAUCAGAUGUGCCCAGAUGGGAUUAGCUAGUAGGUGGGGUAACGGCUCACCUAGGCGACGAUCCCUAGCUGGUCUGAGAGGAUGACCAGACACACUGGAACUGAGACACGGUCCAGACUCCUACGUGAUGCAGCAGUGGGGAAUAUUGCACAAUGGGCGCAAGCCUGAUGCAGCCAUGCCGCGUGUAGGAAUAAGGCUUUCGGGUUGUAAAGUACUUUCAGUGGGGAGGCGUUACCCGCAGAAGAAGCACCGGCUAACUCCGUGCCAGCAGCCGCGGUAAUAC
rnacentral:rRNA from 1 species